AAGAGCGGUAUUCCUGCAGUCCUCCACCCAUUCCCCACAGAUCCAACAUGGCUGGAAACGGGCCUGGACCUGCAGGAGGCCGGGACAAAACAGUCACCGCUGCCAGCUCAGAGCGCUGCCCCUCGCUGGCUGAGACGUGGCCUUCCAGCAGAGAAACAUGCACCAGGAGCUGGCUGCAUGCUCCAGAAGAGUCCCAUCGGCUCGCAGCCCAAAUAGGAGCCUCCCACUGAAGGAUCACGAGUUACUGGACAGACAAAAGGCAGAAAUAAAACAAACAAA